CCUACGGGAGGCAGCAGUGGGGAAUAUUGCACAAUGGGGGAAACCCUGAUGCAGCGACGCCGCGUGAGUGAAGAAGUAUUUCGGUACGUAAAGCUCUAUCAGCAGGGAAGAAAAUGACGGUACCUGACUAAGAAGCCCCGGCUAACUACGUGCCAGCAGCCGCGGUAAUACGUAGGGGGCAAGCGUUAUCCGGAUUUACUGGGUGUAAAGGGAGCGUAGACGGCAGCGCAAGUCUGGAGUGAAAUCCCAUGGCUGAACCAUGGAACUGUUUUGGAAACUGUGCAGCUAGAGUGCAGGAGAGGUAGGCGGAAUUCAUGGUGUAGCGGUGAAAUGCGUAGAUAUUAGGAGGAACACCAGUUGCGAAGGCGGCUUACUGGACUGUAACUGACGUUGAGGCUCGAAAGCGUGGGGAGCAAACAGGAUUAGAUACCCUUGUAGUC
rnacentral:rRNA from 1 species